GGAGACUCUGCCUUGGACCCACUGGUGUAAUAAACUGCACUCCACUAUUUGUGUGGUCCUUCUGAGUGAGUUUGCUUCCCGAAGAGCAUGGCUACAACAUUUUCGGUGCAUUGGCCAGGAAGCGCCUCACUUUGAGGAGACAAGUCCCAUUUGGAGCUACUCCGGGGCCGUGCGGCUUGAAUCACCUAGAGGGGCGCAUUUCAGCCAGAAAAGUUUGGUUGUUGGCUGCUGCAAUAUGUGGACGAUCUGCUCCUGGCCGCUGAGAACAAGGAUGAUUGCUGGGAAGGAACCAAGGCCUCGCUGAGACUGCUGAUGGAGGCUGGUUACCGGGUCUCGAAAAAGAAGGCUCGGAUCUGCAAGGAGGAGGUGAGGUAUUUGGGAUUUGUUCUAAAGAGGGGCACAAGGCUGUUGGGCCAGUCCAGUGCCAUGCCUCUAUCUGUGAUGGACGGGCUCCCAUGGCGGGUACCACCUCUACGGAGGGGUGAUAUGCCUAUGGGAUUUUUUUGCAUCGAGCAAGACAACAAAAAUCAAGUAUAGAAUGGCAUUAGACAUACUCACUGCCGCGCAGGGAGGAACCUGUGCCAUACUUAAGGUUGAAUGUUGUGUAUGGAACCUGUGCCGUACUUAAGGCUGAACGUUGUGUAUACAUUCCUGAUUUAUCUGGCAAUGUAACGACUGCUUUGGGUGACAUGAAGGACCAAGUAAAAGCAAUGUCAGAUGAAAAUAUUCCCUUCUGGACCUUGGUCCUAUCUUGGGUAAAGGGUGAUUGGUGGAAAACUGUGCUCACUGUUAUUAUAGUCAUUUUAAUAGUUCUGUUAUGUGGACCUUGCAUUUUACAAUGUGUUGUUAACUUUGUAUCCCAGAGACUAACCUCACUUCCCCAGAUCAGCAUUAGGAGGCCUAGGAUACAAUAUAUUCCUAUGAGCAAUGCUUCUACUGAGAGUUAGGAGCAUCAAGAGAGAGGAAUGAAAGACGAAAGUGGGCAAAGCGGACUCCAUCUUGGCUG
ensembl:lncRNA